rnacentral:rRNA from 1 species
UACGGAGGGUGCAAGCGUUGCUCGGAAUUAUUGGGCGUAAAGGGUAGGUAGGUGGUCUCAUUUGUCUGAGGUGAAAGCCUUGAGCUUAACUCAAGAAGUGCCUUAGAAACGGUGAGACUAGAGUCUUGGAGAGGGUCGUGGAAUUCCCGGUGUAGCGGUGAAAUGCGUAGAGAUCGGGAGGAACACCAGUAGGCGAAGGCGG